AAGAGUCGAGAGGAAGCAGCUCUGUCCCACCAUGCAGUGCGUCAGUUCCAGGAGGAGGGCGCAUGGGGUGAGCUCAGGGCAGAAGGCUUUUGUUCCAAAGCCCCUCUGACCUGAACGCACACACUCACAGCGUGCCCUGUAUCUGGCUCAGAAGCCGUCGCUCCGAAGAAGAGCAGCCUUCAGACUACCAAGCAGAGUAAUUCCUCAGAAUUGUCCCACGUUGUCCUAGAGAAGUCGUCUUUAUAGGCAUGGAGUAGGGUGUCUGCAGGCCUCCAGUCAAUUCCAACCGAUUUCAACUGCCAAAGUUAAAAGUUGCCAUUGCAGUUACUGUCGGACCAAAGUAACCCCUGAGAACUCUCCACAUUUGUAAAACGGACUGAAAGGUUCAGUGGCGUUUCCCACCUGGAACAGGACUAGUAAUGCUUUGAACGUGAAGAGGUAUUAAUGGCCACUUGCCCUUUAAACCACAGAGGGACAGCUGAGCACAGUGACCUUCUAGCCCAACUUGAGAGAAGCAGGAAAUGGGGUCUGAGGCUGAAGGUUCAGAUGAUAAAAUGCCCCUCGGGAAGAUAACGAAAUGCUUCAUCCGAUGGUGGCCCAAGACACCUCUUAAAAUCUAAGGAAAUCGUUUCCCUUUUAAAAAGCUGCUUUGUGGAAAUAACAAGUGAGAUCUUUUCCUGCUGUUUGUCUCUCUGCCUGAAUCCGGACAUAUUUUCUCUCACAGAUGUCAAUCUUUUGCUAAAAGUCUAUAAAUGAUAUUUCUUUUAAUAGUCCUAAAACAUAAACUACUGUUUCCUCCAACUCUUUCUAGGUUCCCAGAAUGUUUCCAUGGUCUUAUUCUAUUACAAUGUUUGAAACUUUAGUAAUAUUAAGAAAUCCAUUCUCCACAUGAGUCCAUCAGCUUCACUCUGUUCUCACAUAUUUCCCCACAGGUGGCUGGACAGGGAAAAUCUAAAUGACUGGGAUAGCUAAUAGCCUUAAAAAUACUAGGCCCCAAGUAGCAAAGAGACUGUGUCUCUAAACAUCUGGAUUCAUUGCACACUAUAUGCAAAUUGAUGCCAGCAUAUUUACAAAGGUCUCUGUAUACCCAGAAUACCAGGUAACUGGACCUCUAUUUUUCUGGAAAAGAGGUUUUGAAAUAUCGUUAACGGACAUAAGUGUCUGUAUCACUUCUGCCUCCUAGAUGACUGUCCCCUGUGAGGAACUGUCGUGGGAAUGAGGCGAUAGGACUGGUUGAAGGAAAUGCUAAGAAGCUCUCUCCUUUGUGGACUGAGGGACCAGCUUCAACACCAGAGGGGUGCAAUCCCAGCAGAAAAGGAACACUGUCUCUAAUGUUGCAACAAAGUAACCAGCAUGAAGUUAGCAAGAAGAAAUCACGGUUGCAGCUGCUGAACACUGAUCCCUACCUGCUUUAAACUUAGAUCCAGAACGGAGCCGGCACAGUGACUUACGUCACUCCCACUGGCUUAAGAGAACAGAGAAUGACAUAUAGACAAGAUGCUACCUCCCAUGGAAAGGCCCCUAUACAUAAAGUCACUUUAUUUCUCUGUCACUUCCCUGAAAAUAAUUUAUGUAAUUAUGCUGUUAAUGAAGUCUAACAACUCAAGGUUUGUUUAUUGACUAUUACUUAAUGCUACCAAAGCAUGUGUGAAUACCCUCCCACAAGAUGGCACCUGUUGAUUCUCCUUCAUAGUAAAGAUAAGAGAUUCCAACCACUCCCUCUCCUAUGCCCACUCCCAGAUAUGUGUAAUUUCUUCCCACUCCUUCCAGUCUCAGAAGGGGUAAGAUGAACUGAGAAGGGACCCUAUUUGUACAAAUAGGUUUCAGGAUGUUGUCAUAUGUGCUUCCUGGGACUCUGUGGUAAUAAGAGCUGUUUUAAGGUCACUCAUGCAUAAACCCCCAUCCACGAUUUGAUAAAUAAACCCACCGUCCAACCAAUCAAAAAUGCUAAAGUAGGGAGAAAUUGUUCUUCCUUUUUGUUGAUGCCAGUGCCCUAGCCAAGGUGAAUAGACGUUUGUUCAAGCUGUUGCUGUAAAAGAUACUGUGAUGUUCAUUUGUAAAUAUCAUCAGAGUUACUCCUACAGGUCGACUCUCUGUGUAAGACACUAAAAAUGGAUAAUACUCA
rnacentral:lncRNA from 1 species